rnacentral:rRNA from 1 species
CCCAGACUCCUACGGGAGGCAGCAGUGGGGGAUAUUGCACAAUGGGGGGAACCCUGAUGCAGCGACGCCGCGUGGGUGAAGGAGCGUUUCGGCGCGUAAAGCCCUAUCGGCAGGGAAGAAGGAGGACGGUACCUGACUAAGAAGCCCCGGCUAACUACGGGCCAGCAGCCGCGGUAAUACGUAGGGGGCAAGCGUUAUCCGGAUUUACUGGGUGUAAAGGGGGCGCAGACGGCAGCGCAAGCCAGGAGUGAAAGCCCGGGGCCCAACCCCGGGACUGCUCUUGGAACUGCGCGGCUGGAGUGCAGGAGGGGCAGGCGGAAUUCCUGGUGUAGCGGUGAAAUGCGUAGAUAUCAGGAGGAACACCGGUGGCGAAGGCGGCCUGCUGGACUGCAACUGACGUUGAGGCCCGAAAGCGUGGGGAGCAAACAGGAUUAGAUACCCCAGUA